rnacentral:rRNA from 4 species
CUCUCGGCAACGGAUAUCUCGGCUCUCGCAUCGAUGAAGAACGUAGCGAAAUGCGAUACUUGGUGUGAAUUGCAGAAUCCCGUGAACCAUCGAGUCUUUGAACGCAAGUUGCGCCCGAAGCCGUUAGGCCGAGGGCACGUCUGCCUGGGUGUCACGCAACGUC